CUUUGCAACGGAUUGUUAAUUCGCAGUGUAUCAGGGACAACCGGUGAAGCAACAUCUACGUAUAAAUAUCUGUCAAGAAUAAUCGAAAUGUUGAGUGACAUCAUGAAGUGCUUCUUAGCGAUUCUUUUCUCGUGCGCGUUCUAUACCAAUUCAGAUGCACAUGCAAUCAACAAUGCAGGCAACAAUGGAGCUUUUAAUAGUGCAUCAGCUAGUACAUAUACUGGAGCCAUCGCAUCAGCUAAUGCUGGUACAUCCAUGUUAAGUGGUGCCAAUCCGUUUAUAGGUACAUUUGCAGGAACAGGAAAUUUUCCUAGAACCCAUGAGGGACAUAAGGAAAUUCAUAGUUAUGACAAUACUAAUUUUCCUUACGAUAGCAACGCUAAUCGUGACAUAAAAUCUGUUGGUCAUCACCGUGGAACAAAAAAUGGAGCUCAUGAUUAUAAUAAAAACAGUGAUAGCUGUUCUAGAUGUAAAUGGGAGAAUAACGACUAUUGGGAACAAGAUGAACCAGAAAAAGAAGGAGAUGAGAACGAUGGAGAUGAAUGUGAUGACGGUGAUGAUGGUCAAUAUAGGCCUGAUAAAACGUAUUAUCAUGGAAGUGGAUCUAGAAAACAUACAUCUGGAUCACACCCACCAGGAGUACAUAAAACAGGACCCACAGGCGUAUACGGCGAUAAUGUUAAAGAAGAAGUUAAAGAAAACAAACCUGAUAGUCCUUUCGGAACUAUCAAUUUUCCGACAAACACCGGAUAUGUAGGGUUAACUAAUGGUCAUAGAUCGAUAUCGAAACCUGGAUCUAAUUGGAACAUACCAUUUACUAGUACGUCAAAGCCAGGAUACAGCGGCUUAAAUACAGGUACUUUCACGACAACGCCAAGUAAUGAACCAACAACAAAUUGGAACAGAAGAACAACAUUGGCUGGUUUUGGCUCUACGCCGAAGCCUACUUGGAAUAACGUGCAUGGCGAUACGUUUUCUGGAAGUUUUGGAACGACAUCAAAUCCAACAUGGAACAUUAAAUUCAGCAGUGCUCCAACGACAGAAUUCCCCUUACAGAAAUCAAAUUGGAAUGCUGGUUAUGAUAAUACAUUUGCUGAAAGCUACGGAACCACGUUAAAAUCUGGGAUAAGCAGUAAUGUUGGAACAGAUGCCAUAGUUGAUGAAUCAUCUAUUUCACAGCAACCUGGAGCAGCUUGGAAUGAUAAAUAUAAUAAUAAGCCUAUAGAAAACUAUAGAACGACACUAAAACCUGAACAAGGAUGGAAUACCGGAUUUGCUAGUACUCCAAUAGCGGGAUUUCUUUUUUCGCAAAAACCUGUACAAAAUUGGGGUACUGAUCAUGGUAAUACACCCAUUGGAAGUUUCGGAACAGUACCGAAAUCUGGAUCUAGUUGGAAUACUGGAUCUAGUGGUCCAACGGCAGAAUUCCCUUCCUCGCAGAAACCCGUAGUACUUUGGAACAUUAGACAUGACAAUAUGCCUGUUCGGAGCUUCGAAACAGCAAUGAAAUCUGAACAAGAUCGGAACACUGGAUUUGACAGCACUCUUGGAUCAAGCUGGAAUCCGAAUCAGAAAACUACGUUUGUUGGUACAUCUGGUUGUACCCGACCUGAUUCAAAUUAUAGUCAAGGAAAGCAAGGUCCUAUAAAAGUAAAUACAACACUAUUCAAUAGUGGUUUAACGAAAAAUGAUGGAUUUCCGAGCGACACUUCUCAAAGGACGUCACACAGAGGAAGCGAUACGUUGCAUUCAAGUAGUUCAAGUGAAAAUCAAAUCGGGCCUUACAGACAAUAUGGAGUAACAGGAAAUGCACCUGAUUAUAGUCAACCUGAAAAUAAACUUCAUAUUAUGUCAUCUUCGAGCGUAGCAAGUACCUUUGGGCUUAAUAAAAAUCCACAAGGAGGAUUUGGUUCAUUCGGAAUUGUUUCUGGAACUCAUGAGGGCCCUAAUCCAAAUGAUGGGACUAGAACUAUCGCUACCAAUUCUUGGUCAAAUACUGGUCACACUGAAAGCAAAAGUAAUACCUGGCCCUUUUUGCAUACAACACCUCACACUGGAUUUCAUGUAAUAAAUACUAUGUUUGGAACAACUAGAACUCCAUUUGACUAUGUAAACACGUCAGGUUCAUCCGAUGGUCUUUACAGACCGAAAGGACCAAAACCAAUCGGUUUCGAUGUUGCAAGUAGUAAUAUAACUACAAAUGCUAAUACAAAUGCGUUUGAUACAUCUUUUGGAAGAUAUAAUAUUCCUGGUAUAACACAGACAUUUAUCCAUAGUACACCAUCGGUUAAUACGAAAAGUUCAAGUUAUUCCGCGGUUAAAAGCUCUACUGAAAUCACUAGACCUACUUAUGGACUUGGUUCUCAUAAUACACAGUCUAAUAGCGGAACUGGAAUAUGGUCUAAUAAACAACCUGGAGACGAAAGGGGAACAUGGCUUGGAAAACAACCUGAAAACGGUGUUGAAAUUAAGUCUGACACACAACUUAGUAAUGGAAGCGCACUAUGGCCUGGUAAACAACCAUUUACAUUUGAGGGGUAUUCUAGAAGCGGAGUCGAAACUUGGCCUUACAGACAAUCUGAAGAUGGAAGUGCAAUUAUGCCUAGCAGAUAUCCUGAAAGUAAUAGUGGAACUUGGUCUGGAAUAAAACCCGGAAGUGGAAUUACAUUGGGUGAUCAUUCCGCGAUCGGAACCUCACCAGGAAGGCAUCCUACAGACGUAAAUAGUAAUUGGUUUACUCAAAAACCUAGGAUUGGAACUUGGCAAGAUGGACAAAUUGAACACGAAAGUAGAUCUCGAUGCAUGAGUGGAAAUUGUGCACCUACUGGUGCAUUUAGCGGAAGUAGCAAUUGUGGAAGAAUUUAUGAUUGCAGCAACGGUUGCAAAGGAAAUAACAAUGUCUCGAUGAAACAUGGAUCAUGUAAUGAAGUAAUAAAUGGUCCCAGCGGUGUUAAUAAAACAUAUUAUCCUGCUGGAAUAAACAAUCAUGUUCCAAAUAUUGCAAAUAUAUACGGACCAAGUUCAUCUUCUACUAUCAGUAACGGGAUUCCUACUGAAGUUAAUACUGGAUGCAAAAGUGAAGACAAUUCGUGUAAUCAAGGCAACACAGGUGUAACACCAAGAGGUCUUAUUCAAUGGAAUUCCGCAAAUCCAUUUUUAUAUGGAUCUGUAGGGUGUCCCAAAAUUAUAAUACAUCAACUCCAUAGAGGUGUAAAACAGUGAUGCCAGAAACGCAAUCCGGUAGCCCAACAUAGCGCGUGAGGGGUAGCGCACACAACGAGCGACUUCGUGUCCAUGAGUUUUCGGUGCUUCGGCCGGCGUCGGACUUUGGACGAGAGCAGACGACGUCUGUUGUCUCUGUCUUCGCCGAGCGAUACAUAUAGCUAAUUCCGCCGGCCGCGGGAAUCCCGCGCUAUAGACUUCUUUUGUUAUUUCGCCGCUCGUAGACCUCCUUCACAAACGAUAUAAAGGAAAUAAAGUAUGAAGGAUAGAAGGAACAGAAAUAAGAAAUAAAGAAAUCCACUCUUGGUCAACAUAUGUCAUUUUCGUAAAAACAAUUUUGGUAGCUAUUGAAACACUUACGUAUUGUUUAUUCAAACAGAAUUAAAUAAAAAAUGAAA
rnacentral:misc_RNA from 1 species